AAUAUUUCAGGCUGAAUAAAAUUCUCCACAAACUGGAAGAAAAAAAGUGCAUAAAGAAAUAGUUAAAUGUAAACUGAACUGGAAGGACAAGGCUAAGCUGCUGUUGCCCAACAAUACUGCUGGUACUUUGUAACAUAGUAUAUGUAUUUACCUGGCUAACAGAGUCCUGCAAAACUUUUCUUUUGAAGGACAGUUUACUGAGAUAGUGGCCCUUGUUAUCCUGUUUCCGUAGCACUUAGAGACCUCUGAGACAAGAGAUUUUCUCCCCCUGAAGAUAUUUGUUAUUGCUCUGUGUCUGAAGCCCAAACACCUCCUCUGCAGCUGCACUGUAACAAAAACAAACCAUACAUUCCAGUGGAUCAGUGAUUGCUGCAAGAUGUACAGCAAUGUGAAUCGUAUGAGAAAACUGCUUUCUGGAUGUUAUUUGAACUAGCAGCUGUCCAGAAUCCUCAGCUCACCUCUUACCAAGAAAGAGCAUGUCAGAAUACAAUAAUCAUUUUCAGUUGAAUUGCUUUGUUAAAAUGAAAUAAUUUGAAAUGCUGCCGAAGUCUGCUGUGGAGAAAUUCAAACUGCAAGCCUCAGAUAAUGGGAAACUGCAGUAAAGAUUAGGAGUAGGGUGAGCCCAUACUCCCCACUUUGCUUCUGGUGAUCCUUCUAACAAACAGUGCCCCAGUUUUGUCUGCCACUGGCCUUGUUCUGUUAUCAUGAAUAACUUAACUUAAUUCAAUAAAACGUUGAUGUCCAAAACA
rnacentral:lncRNA from 1 species